UGAUGAUGAGGAUGAUGAUGAAGAGUAAAGUAGUCCUGAGAUUCACAGUGUGUGUUAUAUGUGAUUCUGUCAACUCUAUACCAUUUCCUGUUUUAUUUUGAAACCCCUUUCCCUAGGUGUUCAGCUGCUGACUUGACUUCCGGCCUCCGUGUGAUUUGCACCUGUGCAGAUGAUGAGUUCCACCUGAGUCUCAGCGGCUUCCUGUCUCCUCACUCUUUGUCUCUGAGGCUCUGCAGCUUGUCCUUGUGUCCUCUUGGGUCUUCUCUGUGUCUGCUGGACCACCUAUUUCCCAGGGACUCAUUCAUGGAUCUUGAUGAAACAGAAGAUGCACAACAGGAACAGGAAGUAGACGUGAUGUGUCUAAUGGGCUCAAACCACAGACUGAAGAUGAAGAUGAGCAACAUGACGGACCAGCCAAAGUGAAGCCAGAGUGUAUGAUCGCCACCUGCUGGCUGGCUGCAGUAUAGAUGGGACAUGG